CACGUAGGGGGCAAGCGUUGUCCGGAUUUAUUGGGCGUAAAGAGCUCGUAGGCGGUUUCGUAAGUCGGAUGUGAAAACUCCAGGCUCAACUUGGAGACGCCAUUCGAUACUGCGAUGACUUGAGUCCGGUAGGGGAGUGUGGAAUUCCUGGUGUAGCGGUGAAAUGCGUAGAGAUGUGGAGGAACACCAGUGGCGAAGGCGGCUCUUUGGUCUGUAACUGACGCUGAGGCGCGAAAGCGUGGGGAGCGAACAGG
rnacentral:rRNA from 1 species